rnacentral:siRNA from 1 species
UGAUGCAAAGUUAUAAAGCAA